rnacentral:rRNA from 1 species
UCGAGAAUCAUUCACAAUGGGGGAAACCCUGAUGGUGCGACGCCGCGUGUAUGAAGAAGGCCUUCGGGUUGUAAAGUACUUUCAGCGGGGAGGAAGGGAGUAAAGUUAAUACCUUUGCUCAUUGACGUUACCCGCAGAAGAGGCACCGGCUAACUCCGUGCCAGCAGCCGCGGUAAUACGGAGGGUGCAAGCGUUAAUCGGAAUUACUGGGCGUAAAGCGCACGCAGGCGGUUUGUUAAGUCAGAUGUGAAAUCCCCGGGCUCAACCUGGGAACUGCAUCUGAUACUGGCAAGCUUGAGUCUCGUAGAGGGGGGUAGAAUUCCAGGUGUAGCGGUGAAAUGCGUAGAGAUCUGGAGGAAUACCGGUGGCGAAGGCGGCCCCCUGGACGAAGACUGACGCUCAGGUGCGAAAGCGUGGGGAGCAAACAGG